AGAUUGAACGCUGGCGGCAUGCCUAACACAUGCAAGUCGAGCGGGAGUAGCAAGUACUCUAGUGGCGGACGGGUGAGGAAUACGUAGGAAUUUGCCCUUAAGUGGGGGAUAACCCGGGGAAACCCGGAUUAAUACCGCAUGACCUCGAAAGAGCAAAGUGGGGGAUCGCAAGACCUCACGCUUUUGGAGAAGCCUACGUCGGAUUAGCUAGUUGGUGAGGUAAUGGCUCACCAAGGCGACGAUCCGUAACUGGUCUGAGAGGAUGAUCAGUCACACCGGGACUGAGACACGGUCCGGACUCCUACGGGAGGCAGCAGUGGGAAUAUUGGACAAUGGGCGCAAGCCUGAUCCAGCAAGUGCCGCGUGUGUGAACGAAGGUCCGUUCGGGUUAGUAAAGGCUAACGUUUAAAGGUUAGGGAAAGUAAAAAACUCGACGUCUAACACAGUGAGUCUAGACGUACGACAGAAUAA
rnacentral:rRNA from 1 species